AUGAACGCUGGCGGCGUGCCUAAUACAUGCAAGUCGAGUGAACAGACGAGGAGCUUGCUCCUCUGACGUUAGCGGCGGACGGGUGAGUAACACGUGGAUAACCUACCUAUAAGACUGGGAUAACUUCGGGAAACCGGAGCUAAUACCGGAUAAUAUAUUGAACCGCAUGGUUCAAUAGUGAAAGACGGUUUUGCUGUCACUUAUAGAUGGAUCCGCGCCGCAUUAGCUAGUUGGUAAGGUAACGGCUUACCAAGGCAACGAUGCGUAGCCGACCUGAGAGGGUGAUCGGCCACACUGGAACUGAGACACGGUCCAGACUCCUACGGGAGGCAGCAGUAGGGAAUCUUCCGCAAUGGGCGAAAGCUUGACGGAGCAACGCCGCGUGAGUGAUGAAGGUCUUCGGAUCGUAAAACUCUGUUAUUAGGGAAGAACAAAUGUGUAAGUAACUAUGCACGUCUUGACGGUACCUAAUCAGAAAGCCACGGCUAACUACGUG
rnacentral:rRNA from 1 species